rnacentral:rRNA from 1 species
CAUCACUACGCUAGAUGCAUAUCAAUAAGCGGAGGAAAAGAAACUAACAAGGAUUCCCCUAGUAACGGCGAGUGAAGCGGGAAGAGCUCAAAUUUGAAAUCUUAAAAGGUUUUCCUUUUACGAAUUGUAGUUUAAAGAAGUGUUUUCUGUUGAAGUUUUGGUACAAGUUCUUUGGAAUAGGACAUCAUAGAGGGUGAGAAUCCCGUAUUUGACCUUAAUUUUUCAACUUUGUGAUACACUUUCAAAGAGUCGGAUUGUUUGGGAAUGCAGUCCAAAAUGGGUGGUAAAUUUCAUCUAAGGCUAAAUAUUGGCGAGAGACCGAUAGCGAACAAGUACCGUGAGGGAAAGAUGAAAAAAACUUUGAAAAGAGAGUUAAAUAGUACGUGAAAUUGUCAAAAGGGAAGCGUUUGGCACCAGUGUUGUUUUUCUAAAAAUCAAUUUAAAAUUUGCUUAUGUUAAGUGUUUUAGACUUAAUCGGCUAUACAUUUAAUUCUUUGUAAAUUUUGAAUGCACUUUUUAGUUAACAAGUCAACAUCAAUUUUUUUUGCUGUAAAAAAGUAAGAGGAAGGUGGCUUGGGAUUCGUUUCAAGUGGUUUAUAGCCUCUUGCCCAUGCAGUAGGAGAGAUUGAGGUCUGCAGCAUAGAUCCUUCGGGGCUAGAUGCUUUUGUGCUAGAAGCUAGUAUUAUAUAGACAACUUGUUGAUUAUGUAAUAUAUUAGUUUCUACUCGCUUAAGUUAUUUUACCUACGCUUAGGAUGUUGAUCUACAGAGCGAGAGU